AUGGAUGGAUGGGGACGGGGCGAUGACGGCGCGGCGGCGGGUGCCGCGAUGGUGGGGAGCGACUGGAUCAACAUCUAUCUGGAGGCCAUCCUCGACGCGGGCGGUGCCGCGGGAGAGAUCUCGACCGCCUCACUAGCGCCUGGGGGCGGCGGCGAAGCGGCGGAGAAGAGGCGGGACAAGUCGUGGCUCAUGCUGCGGGAGCGUGGCCGCUUCAACCUGGCGUGCUACUUCGUGGGGGAGGUCAUCUCCGGCUUCGACGAGACCGACCUCUACAAGACCUGGGUCCGUACGUCAGCGAUGAGGAGCCCGCAGGAGCGGACCACGCGGCUGGAGAACAUGUCCUGGCGGAUCUGGAACCUCGCCAGGAAGAAGAAGCUGAUUACGUACCACUUCUUCCACUGGAAGAAGGGAACUCCAUUCGCUGAUGAUCAGGGGAUGUAUAAUAGAUUGACUUGGUGGGAGCAAAUGGACAACGGCAAGCAGCUUACUCGCAACAGAAAAUUUCUUGUUGUGGUUCCUGUAGUCUUAUAA
rnacentral:rRNA from 1 species